UAUCCAAAUAGUUUAAUAAAAACGCCGGUUUGUGGGGCCGAAGAUGUAAAGAUUUACUUUGGGUAG
rnacentral:tRNA from 1 species